rnacentral:hammerhead_ribozyme from 1 species
AUGUACCUGAUGAGUCCCAAAUAGGACGAAAUGCGAAUCCUGCAU